GUCUGUAGGUUCAUGGAGGUUUUCUCCCCAGUUCAUCUGGCUGAUGAUAUUUGUCAGAUGACUUGUGGAUGUACUUGACAGGGCACAGAUUAUUUCUGCCUGCAGCUUUAAUGAAGAAAGGCUGUCAAGAGACAGCAGCAGCAAACCCAAUCCAACAGCAUCACCUUGCAGUGAUUUUGCUGCUGUGGUGGGAGAUGUUCACACUAACAGGGAUGAGCCAGGAUCCCUGCUUUUGUGACUGAGCAGUUGGCUGGAAGAUGGAAACAGCCAAACUUCCAAAUCCCCAUCUUGGUUCAUGCAGGUUUGGUUUGGGUCUGCCAUCUUCUGUAAGAGGAAAUGCUGCCCCUUCUUCUGUUCCAGUGACAUGCUGAGGUAGAGCACUCUCUCUGAUGAAAUGGGACAUCUCCCUCUGGACAAAAGAAACUUGCCUGCCACGGAGAAAUUGUUAUGACAUAUAUAUUCCUAGGAAAGACUUGCUUUGUCAUAUCACAGUGUUACAGUCAGAAAAAAUUAUUUUACCAACCAGCCAACCCCCAAGUCAGCAUCGUAGCAUCAACUUCUCAGAGAGGAAAGACAAGAUGUCAUAAGCGUGAAACCUGUGGCAGAGCUGGAUGUAAGACAUAAGCUUCCAGUGUUUUCAACAUUCAACACUUUGCCUUAGACUUGGCUGUGGAGAGCAACUGCAGUAUUAACAGCAGUGAGUGUUUUCAGAUCCAA